GCCCCAAAUUUAGCUUCUAAUAUUCUAAUGUAAGCCUUUUUCAAACAAAUAUAAAUAAAACAUUUCAACAGUUUAGUAAGUGUGACUAAAAAACCACUACAAGCUAUAAAUCAAGUACCGCAAGGGAACAUUGAAAUAGAAAUUAAAUAAACUUAAAGCACAAAAAAGUAGAGAUAGA
rnacentral:rRNA from 1 species